rnacentral:rRNA from 1 species
UAGCGAAGGGGGCUAGCGUUGUUCGGAAUACUGGGCGUAAAGCGCACGUAGGCGGAUCGAUCAGUCAGGGGUGAAAUCCCAGAGCUCAACUCUGGAACUGCCUUUGAUACUGAAGAUCUUGAGUUCGGGAGAGGUGAGUGGAACUGCGAGUGUAGAGGUGAAAUUCGUAGAUAUUCGCAAGAACACCAGUGGCGAAGGCGGCUCACUGGCCCGAUACUGACGCUGAGGCACGAAAGCGUGGGGAGCAAAAGGG